rnacentral:rRNA from 1 species
UAGGGAAUCUUCGGCAAUGGGGGGAACCCUGACCGAGCAACGCCGCGUGAGUGAAGAAGGUUUUCGGAUCGUAAAGCUCUGUUGUUAAGGAAGAACGAGUGUGAGAAUGGAAAGUUCAUGCUGUGACGGUACUUAACCAGAAAGGGACGGCUAACUACGUGCCAGCAGCCGCGGUAAUACGUAGGUCCCGAGCGUUGUCCGGAUUUAUUGGGCGUAAAGCGAGCGCAGGCGGUUAGAUAAGUCUGAAGUUAAAGGCAGUGGCUCAACCAUUGUAGGCUUUGGAAACUGUUUAACUUGAGUGCGGAAGGGGAGAGUGGAAUUCCAUGUGUAGCGGUGAAAUGCGUAGAUAUAUGGAGAAACACCGGUGGCGAAAGCGGCUCUCUGGUCUGUAACUGACGCUGAGGCUCGAAAGCGUGGGGAGCGAACAGG